rnacentral:rRNA from 1 species
GACGAACGCUGGCGGCGUGCUUAACACAUGCAAGUCGAACGGAAAGGCCCUGCUUUUGUGGGGUGCUCGAGUGGCGAACGGGUGAGUAACACGUGAGUAACCUGCCCUUGACUUUGGGAUAACUUCAGGAAACUGGGGCUAAUACCGGAUAGGAGCUCCUGCUGCAUGGUGGGGGUUGGAAAGUUUCGGCGGUUGGGGAUGGACUCGCGGCUUAUCAGCUUGUUGGUGGGGUAGUGGCUUACCAAGGCUUUGACGGGUAGCCGGCCUGAGAGGGUGACCGGCCACAUUGGGACGGGGAUACGGCCCAGACCCCUACGGGAGGCAGGGGUGGGGAAUAUUGCACAAUGGGCGGAAGCCUGAUGCAGCAACGCCGCGUGGGGGAUGACGGCCUUCGGGUUGUAAACCGCUUUCGCCUGUGACGAAGCGUGAGUGACGGUAAUGGGUAAAGAAGCACCGGCUAACUACGUG